UUCCUGAGAGUCUGCCAGCACUAAAGUUUCCUCCUCCACCCUCAUUAUUCUGUUCUUAUUUUCCUCGUAUCCGUUAUCAGUAUCAAGAAGCAGAACUGCCCAUGUCUUUACUAUGCACCGUCCCCCAUGACAGUUCCACGGGGCAGAAUACAAGCCCUCUCAUUCGGUGUCCUGCCCCAGCACCCACCUAGCUCACUGGGCACAUAGUUUCUUCUGUGAAUGCUGGCUGCAUGGAAGCAGGGAGGGACCUGCCUAUGAGGUGGCUCACCCCAUUGCCGGGCAGCACUAUAGGAGUACAUUCCAGGCAAACUUCAGGGGGCUCAAAAGUGAAUGACAGAUGCUCUGCCAGUGGCGUUUGCUCCAACACAGCAGCUACACUGGACUUGUUCUGUGUGUUACUUCUUGGCUCCAGAACCCUGCCCAAAACUAAAGGACACUUAAGAGUAGCCAAGAGAUGGAGAAGCACAGGACAAGGGGUUAGGAAGCCCCGAUUCUUGCUAGCUUGGUUACUGCCCAAGGGCCACUAUCUUCUGGGCAUUUUCUUCCUUAGCUUAGAAGAGCCCGCCCUCCUGUUCCUGAGGCUUGGCAGUGACCGGCAGCACCACCCAAUCCUUAUCAUCAGUUGCCUUUCUCCUUUGCAGUCACGAAAUCCAAGUGCCCCUCCUAUGUGGGAGUUACGGGAAUCCUUCUGCAGGAGACCAAGCAUGUCUUCAAGAUCAUCACCAAAGAAGACCACCUGAAAGUUAUCCCUAAGCAAAAUUGUGUGUUCACCAUAGAAAUUGAUGACUUCAUUUCCUACAUUUAUGGAAGCAAAUUCCAGCUUCGGGCAAGUGAGCGGUCUGCCAAGAAGUUCAAAGCAAAGGGAACAAUUGACCUAUGAACUCUUUGCCACUGGAGACAGAUGUCCCUGACACCUGAGAACUGGAAACACCCUGAGUGUUCACUUUUCCUUGAAGAACCUCUGGCUGUAGCCCGCCUCUAGUCCAGGGAAAACAGGGGCUGAAGAAUAUUGAACAACGCAAGAGAAAGCUAGGGGUAGAUAUUUGUAUUUUUAGCUAACUAAAGUUAGCUUUAGUUGUACAGGGAGGAAAGACUAGCAGAAAUACACCAGGAUUAACCUUAGUUCAUCUGAAGAAAAGGGCGUUUAGGUUCUGUCUUUCCUACUUCUCUCUGUGUAUCCUGAACAUUCUAGCUAAGUCAGUUAUUCAAGUAAUAAUAAAACCAGACCACAGGCAUAAA
rnacentral:lncRNA from 1 species